rnacentral:rRNA from 1 species
AGAGUUUGAUCCUGGCUCAGGACGAACGCUGGCGGCGCGCUUAACACAUGCAAGUCGAGCGACCUGCACAACUUUAACAGAACCCUUCGGGGCGAAGAUAAAGUGGAUUAGCGGCGGACGGGUGAGUAACACGUGAGUAACCUGCCUUAGACAUUGGGAUAGCCUCGGGAAACCGGGAUUAAUACCAAAUAAAAUCAUAAUGACACAUGUCAUAACGAUCAAAACUCCGGUGGUCUAAGAUGGACUCGCGUCCCAUUAGCUAGUUGGUAGAGUAAAAGCCUACCAAGGCGACGAUGGGUAGCCGGCNUGAGAGGGUGAACGGCCACAUUGGAACUGAGAAACGGUCCAAACUCCUACGGGAGGCAGCAGUGGGGAAUAUUGNACAAUGGNNGGAANNCUGAUGCAGCGACGCCGCGUGAACGAAGAAGGCUUUCGAGUCGUAAAGUUCUUUUAUAUGGGAAGAUAAUGACGGUACCAUAAGAAAAAGCCCCGGCUUAACUCCGUGCCAGCAGCCGCGGUAAUACGAAGGGGGCUAGCGUUGCUCGGAAUCACUGGGCGUAAAGGGUUCGCAGGCGGAAAUGCAAGUCAGAUGUAAAAGGCAGUAGCUUAACUACUGUAAGCAUUUGAAACUGCAUAUCUUGAGAAGAGUAGAGGUAAGUGGAAUUUUUAGUGUAGCCGGUGAAAUGCGUAGAUAUAUGGAGGAACACCGGUGGCGAAAGCGGCUCUACUGGGCUCAUUCUGACGCUGAGGAACGAAAGCGUGGGUAGCAAACAGGAUUAGAUACCCUGGUAGUCCACGCUGUAAACGAUGAGUGCUAGGUGUCGGCGAAUGUCGGUGCCGCAGUUAACACAAUAAGCACUCCGCCUGGGGAGUACGUGCGCAAGCAUGAAACUCAAAGGAAUUGACGGGGUGGAGGUCGCUAGAUGGUCAGCGGAGCAUGUGGUUUAAUUCGAAGCAACGCGAAGAACCUUACCAAGUCUUGACAUAUUUUGGAAGCACUUAGAGAUAAGUGCCUAUAUCUUCGGAUAACUGAAAUACAGGUGGUGCAUGGUUGUCGUCAGCUCGUGUCGUGAGAUGUUGGGUUAAGUCCCAUAACGAGCGCAACCCCUAUGGCUAGUUACCAUCAUUAAGUUGGGGACUCUAGCAAUACUGC